ACCAGAAAACAAUCACACAGCCACAUGCCUGUUUGUCUAUCAAAUGGAUGCUAAAGUAGACUGUUUUGAAGAGGGAUUAUCCAGGGUGCUCUGUCCUGUACUUACUAAAACAUCCUGUUUGGUCAUUACACAUUGCUGUUUGUGGAAGGACUUUGGAAUGUAAAUGCACUGGAGGCAGUUCAGACAACAUUUAUUACACCAAUACCUGGAAUAGUAACAGGUUGACUGAGAUCAGUGGCUCCGCUGCACUAAUAUAUCUCUGAGAAGUCAGCUACAAUCUGUGAAAGAUCUUCACUGUUCGGGUUAAACUGAGAAGGACUAAACCCUUACCAUC